rnacentral:rRNA from 1 species
GUCGAUGAAAGAACGCAGCAAACUGUGCGUCAUCGUGUGAACUGCAGGACACAUGAACAUCGACAUUUUGAACGCAUAUCGCAGUCCAUGCUGUUAUGUACUUUAAUUAAUUUUAUAGUGCUGCUUGGACUACAUAUGGUUGAGGGUUGUAAGACUAUGCUAAUUAAGUUGUUUAAAAUUUUUCGGAAUUUUAAGCAUAUUGUAUAUUAUUGGAUAUUUUUGUACUUAACAAUACAUAUUCAUAAUAUUAAUCUUUUGAUUAUGGAAAUACUACUUCUCUUUGUAUAUUUUGUUUGAGAAAACUGAAGAAAUAUAUUUUCUUUUUUUCAAUUCAAUAAAUACUGAGGAAUGUCUAGCAUAAAAAAUAAAAAUUUUUCAUCUAGAAUUGCCUCUUAUUAAUGAUGCGAUAAAAGAAUUGUUGUCAAAUUAUAAGUCUUCAAAAUAAAAAAUCCAUAGUUAUUAUUGAACAAAUUUUAUAGUUCAAUUAACAUUGUUUUAUACAACCUCAACUCAUAUGGGACUACCCCCUGAAUUUAAGCAUAUUAAUUAGGGGAGGAAAAGAAACUAACAAGGAUUUUCUUAGUAGCGGCGAGCGAAAAGAAAAAAGUUCAGCACUAAGUCACUUUGUCUAUAUGGCAAAUGUGAGAUGCAGUGUACGGAACAUCAAUAUUCUAGUAUGAGAAAUUAACGAUUUAAGUCCUUCUUAAAUGAGGCCAUUUACCCAUAGAGGGUGCCAGGCCCGUAUAACGUUAAUGAUUACUAGAUGGUGUUUCCAAAGAGUCGUGUUGCUUGAUAGUGCAGCACUAAGUGGGUGGUAAACUCCAUCUAAAACUAAAUAUAACCAUGAGACCGAUAGUAAACAAGUACCGUGAGGGAAAGUUGAAAAGAACUCUGAAUAGAGAGUUAAAUAGUACGUGAAACUGCUUAGAGGUUAAGCCCGAUGAACCUGAAUAUCCGUUAUGGAAAAUUCAUCAUUAGAAUUGUAAUAUUUAAACAAUAUUGUAAUAAUAGUGUGCAUUUUUUCCAUAUAAGGACAUUGUAAUCUAUUAGCAUGAAUAAUUUAUCAAAAAAUUGUGACUUAUUGUUUAUUUCAAUUAUGGUGCUUGCAUUUUAACAUAAAAUAAAUGUCAUAAAUUUGAUAAAGUGCUGAUAGAUUUAUAUGAUUACAGUGCGUUAAUUUUUCGGAAUUAUAUAAUGGCAUAUUUAUCAUUGAUUUUUAUGUUUAUUAUAAGCACUUGUAUGAUUAACAAUGCGAAAGAUUCAGGAUACCUUCGGGACCCGUCUUGAAACACGGACCAAGGAGUCUAACAUAUGUGCAAGUUAUUGGGAAAUAAACCUAAUAGCGUAAUUAACUUGACUAUUAAUGGGAUUAGUUUUUUAGCUAUUUAUAGUUAAUUAACACAAUCCCGGGGCGUUCUAUAUAGUUAUGUAUAAUGAUAUUUAUAUUAUUUAUACCUCUAACUGGAACGUACCUUGAGCAGAUAUGCUGUGACCCGAAAGAUGGUGAACUAUACUUGAUCAGGUUGAAGUCAGGGGAAACCCUGAUGGAAGACCGAAACAGUUCUGACGUGCAAAUCGAUUGUCAGAAUUGAGUAUAGGGGCGAAAGACCAAUCGAACCAUCUAGUAGCUGG